rnacentral:pre_miRNA from 1 species
GAGCAAAUACCUUUAAACUCUAAUAUGUGUUGAAGUCUGUAAGUCGCAGACGAAAUAGGCCUAUCUGUCAAGAUAAGCAACACAUAUUAGAGUUUAAAGGUAUUUGCUCG